GCAAACUUGGUCAUUUAGAGGAAGUAAAAGUCGUAACAAGGUUUCCGUAGGUGAACCUGCGGAAGGAUCAUUACCAUGAGGUGGAGCCCCAAAAGGGCCCCUACUCCCACUCUAUGUUGACUUUAAAAACGUUGCUUUGGCGGACCGGUGGCUCCACCGCCGGUCGUCAACCGAGGCUCCAAACCUCGGGACUGGAGAGCGUCCGCCAGAGGCUCAAUUUUAAACUCUUGUUAACGGUGAAGUCUGAAGUCUUAAAGAAUUGAAUCAAAACUUUCAACAACGGAUCUCUUGGUUCUGGCAUCGAUGAAGAACGCAGC
rnacentral:misc_RNA from 1 species